rfam:Homo sapiens chromosome 6 genomic contig, GRCh38 reference assembly alternate locus group ALT_REF_LOCI_6.
GGGGGUGUAGCUCAGUGGUAGAGCGCAUGCUUUGCAUGUAUGAGGUCCCGGGUUCGAUCCCCGGCACCUCCA